AUCACGUGUUGGACUCGUCAUCGCCAGCAGGCACCCUCCCGACGUGAGCACUGCCCGGACCUCUCACGCCACACACCCCAUCACCCUUGCUCAAGGAGGACAGUAACCACUCCUAGUCAACGGAAAGAAUCCGUGAAGCCAGUUGCGCCACGAAGCGUUAGCAGAGGCAACAAGUCCAUGACGUCUGAAAUAGGAAAAGCCUGACGUUCCUCAGCUCGACUCUUCCGCCCAAAGAUUUUUUGCCCAGAAGUUCAUCAUCUGCCUCCACUCCCUUUGAUGUGUUGUCUGUCUCUUCGUCUGCCUCGCCCCCUGCGUCUCUGUCUGUCCGUCCACCACAAGUACCCGUAUGCCUGUCCCUUCAUCUCCGUGCCUGCUGGUCUAGCCGUCAACCUGUUUGUUUAUCCUCAAGUGUGUCUGUUUUUUGCAAUGUUUGCAGUCAUGACUUUGAGCCAAGGACGAGAGGAGCACAGAGGUUGACAAGUCUCCCCAUCCAUCCAUGUCCCUGCCGGAAAUAGUUGACGUAGGGGAUGGAAGCGUCUGACAACACUGACUUUUCUCCGCGCGCGUGGCUGUCUUUCCCAUCACUUCCUCGUGCGUCAUGUUUAUGCGAGUGGACCAAGACAGCAGAAGAGGCUCCCUCGUUCCCGGAACCCACCGCGGCCCACGCAUCAUCGAGGCGCCAACGAAGGUCACAUCGUAGUCUGCGUAACAGUGUGGUGACGUGUCCCUGUGGCGCAGCGAGGCAGCUCUUGUACCCUGCGACCCAUAUAAUCCAGGGGCAAUGAGGCAAAUGGAGAGGGACUGGUGGCAAGGAAAAACAUGCUGCUUCUGUGAGAGUAACUUGGAGGGAGUCCCCCAAAUCAGGCACUGUGUGAAUAACCCGGCCCCCAUUCUCUUCGUCGCGGCAUAAGGACAACGGUAGAUAGAGGGGACUGAAUGCGCUGAAUGGGCGAGUGCAGAGUGGAAAGGAAAAACAGAGAAUAGAAGAAAGGGAAGAAAAUGUGUUAACCAAAGGGUAGGCAGACCAUAUGUGACGGGGAUGUGUUUAAAACAAGGAGAGUGAAACGAGAGAGAGAGAGAGAGAGAGAGAUCAGCUGUUUUUCAGUAACCCGGAGGUGUUGUGAAUUCUCUCUCUCUCUCUCUCUCUCUCUCUCUCUCUCUCUCUCUCUCUCUCUCUCUCUCUCUCUCUCUCUCUCUCUCUCUCUCUGUGUGUGUGUGUGUGUGUGUGUAAAAUUCACCACGGCCUGAUCACGUGUUGGACUCGUCAUCGGCAGCAGGCACCCUCCCGACGUGAGCAAGUGCUCAUCAUCGUCGAUCUCUGGGCACUGCCCGGACCUCUCACGCCACACCCCCCAUCACCCUUGCUCAAGGGGGACAGUAACCACUCCUAGUCAACGGAAAGAAUCUGGCCUGAGCGCGGCUCGGACCGCCGCUGUUUGGCCGUUAAGCCUCGCAGCGCAGCGCUCUGCCGAUUGAGCCACCGGAGCGCGCACGUGUGUGUGUGUGUGUGUGUGUGUGUACAAGGGGCUCUUUGUGUGUGUGUGUGUGUGUGUGUGUGUGUGUGUGUGUACAAGGGGCUCUUUGUGUGUGUGUGGUGGGGGGUGAGGGGUUGUAUAAGGGACUCCGUGUGCAUGUGUGUGGGAUCUUUGUGUGUGUGUGUGUGUGUGUGUGUGUGUGUGUGUGUGUGUGUGUGUGUGUGUGUGUGUGUGUUCAUCUUCGUUUAUUACUAUUCUCUCUCUCUCUCUCUCUCUCUCUCUCUCUCUCUCUCUCUCUCUCUCUCUCUCUCUCUCUCUCUCU